rnacentral:rRNA from 1 species
UACGGAGGGUGCGAGCGUUGUCCGGAAUCAUUGGGCGUAAAGGGCGCGUAGGUGGCGGGACAAGCGUGCGGUGAAAGCUCGGGGCUCAACCCCGAGUCGGCCGUGCGAACUGUUUUGCUUGAGCACUGCAGAGGCAGGCGGAAUUCCGGGUGUAGCGGUGGAAUGCGUAGAGAUCCGGAAGAACACCGGUGGCGAAGGCGGCCUGCUGGGCAGUGGCUGACACUGAGGCGCGACAGCGUGGGGAGCAAACAGG